UUUUUCCCCAGGCGCUGCUGAUUAUUCCAGGUCGACGCCGGAAAGCUCAUGUUUCAUCUGGCUCAGCCACAGAGCCAUGAAUAUUCGACAAUCACUGUUGCAAUUGAAUGAGUCGUCAUCAGACGAUGAUGACGAAAUUAGUUUCGCCGAGUA